rnacentral:tRNA from 1 species
UUCAGGAUGGCCGAGUGGUUAAGGCGUUGGACUUAAGUUCCAAUGUACGAAUGUACGCGUGGGUUCGAACCCCACUCCCGUUA